rnacentral:rRNA from 1 species
UAGGGAAUUUUGCGCAAUGGGGGAAACCCUGACGCAGCAAUACCGCGUGAACGACGAAGCCCUUCGGGGUGUAAAGUUCUGUCAGUGGGGACGAAUUUUGACGGUACCCACAAAGGAAGCAUCGGCUAACUACGUGCCAGCAGCCGCGGUAAGACGUAGGAUGCAAGCGUUGUCCGGAAUCAUUGGGCGUAAAGCGUUCGUAGGCGGCAUGUCAAGUCUGAUGUUAAAGCCCGGAGCUCAACUCCGGUUCGGCAUUGGAUACUGGCAAGCUAGAGUGCAAUAGAGGUAGGGGGAAUUCCUAGUGUAGCGGUGAAAUGCGUAGAUAUUAGGAGGAACACCGGUGGCGAAAGCGCCCUACUGGGUUGUAACUGACGCUGAGGAACGAAAGCCAGGGUAGCAAAUGGGAUUAGAUACCCCAGUAGUCCUGGCCGUAAACGAUGGAUACUAGGUGUUGCGGGUAUCGACCCCCGUAGUGCCGUAGUUAACGCGAUAAGUAUCCCGCCUGGGGAGUACGCACGAC